rnacentral:rRNA from 1 species
GACGAACGCUGGCGGCGUGCUUAACACAUGCAAGUCGAACGGAAAGGCCCUGCUUUUGUGGUGUGCUCGAGUGGCGAACGGGUGAGUAACACGUGAGUAACCUGCCCUUGACUUUGGGAUAACUUCAGGAAACUGGGGCUAAUACCGGAUAGGAGCUCCUGCUGCAUGGUGGGGGUUGGAAAGUUUCGGCGGUUGGGGAUGGACUCGCGGCUUAUCAGCUUGUUGGUGGGGUAGUGGCUUACCAAGGCUUUGACGGGUAGCCGGCCUGAGAGGGUGACCGGCAACAUUGGGACUGAGAUACGGCCAAGAUUCCUCCGGGAGGCAGCAGUGGGGAAUAUUGAACAAUGGGCGGAAGCCUGAUGAAGCAACGCGGCGUGCGGGAUGACGGCCUUCGGGUUGUAAACCGCUUUCGCCUGUGACGAAGCGUGAGUGACGGUAAUGGGUAAAGAAGCACCGGCUAACUACGUG